ensembl:lncRNA
UUUUAUCAUAGUAAAUUUAAUCAGGCUUCUAACAAAGGAGACUCCUAACAAACUGUACAGUUAUAAUGAACACUUUUAAUCAAAAAUAUAUUAAACAUAAUUUCAAUAUUUUUUCGCUAGCAUUUCCAACCCAAAGCAGAAACUUUGAUGUAACACCCUGGAGGCUCUCAAUCCUGUAGACAAGCAGUGAAACGCUUCUGCCUCAGCGAAGACUUUGCCUUGUGGCUUCAUGACUGAUCUUGGCAAACCAGGUUGCUGCCAGAAGGGGCGGGUCAGGUCAAACUACUGUGCCACAACAGGUUGCCUCUCUUCCCUUCUCUCUCUCCUCAAAUUAGCAUCCCGUAGGAUCCGUGAGCUGAUUCCCACUCACUGUGCAGCCCACACAAUGCCGGGUGCCAACAGGGUAAGUUGCAGGUCAUCUCCUUCGAGCAAUGUGAACUCUUGUUGUAGAAACCAACAAAAGGCAACUGGAAAACCACACCCUGCCGACAUUAAAACUAAUCGGGCACCUCAGGAAUCUGAUGCAAUACAUAUUUAAUAUACCAUAUCAAGAUUUGCAUGUGUCAGGUGCUGUGAUACAGGCAGUACCUUGUUCAUGCAAAAUCACUGCCAUUUCUUUUACUUUUCUGCACACCAUUCUAAUGAGAUCUUGGAAGCUCUCUUGAUGAGGGGGCUGAAUUCAAUGACUUUUUCAUUUAAAAAUACUGUGCACUUUGGAAAUCUUUUUACAAAGUUUCACGUUUCUAAAUGCAAAUGUAUACAAAACAAUCAUGCUUAUACUUACCUCUUUGUGAUUGACUCAAAUUAUCCCCUUCCUAAAAUGUUCAUAAAAAACAGUACUUCAUUACAUGUAAGGCCAUACAGAAUCCAACAGUCAGGAUACCACCAAUGAGUCCUAAGUAUUUUUCAUCUCUGAAAACCAAUCAUGUAGCACUGGCAGCCUCCUGACCCUCCUCAACCACUCAAUCAAUUAUAAUCACUCAAUCAGGUCAUUAGGGAUGCCAGACAUUACCCAGAAUCACCUAGGUUUGAAAUGAUGAUGAAUUUGGGGCCUUAUGGUUCAACUUGACAUUACACCUAAUCCAAAGCAACGUGGAGUUCCUAAAGAGACGGUCCUGCUUGCUUUCGUUGCCUCCCUGAAUUCCUGCUCCUUCUUGAAGUCAGAAAUAAUGAUUACACACAGCCUUCUAAUUGUGAAAAGUGAUGGAUGAAAAGUGGUGAGAAGGCUUAAGGGGAGAGACUUAAGUGGUGAGAAGGCUUAAGAGAGAGAAGAAGGGACCUUUCCCUGCUCAGUGGCUGCCUGUAGUUACACUCUGUAAGGUGCAGUCAAAAACGUAACAAAGGAAACGUUUAGUAGCAAAUAGUAACAAAAAAAUGGAAUUCAUCCUACAUGAAACUCAAACACAAGCAGGAGAUACACAGGAGGUGGAAGCAGGGACAGGCUGCUUGGGAUGAAUAUAGGGACAUUGUCAGAGUAUGCAGAAAUGCGACAAGGAGAGUCAAGGCCUUUUUAGAAUAAUAUCUGGCGAAGGAUGUCAAGGACAAGAAGAAAGGCUUCUUCAAAUACAUCAAUAAUAACUGGAAAACUAGGGAAAAUGUAGGCCUGCUACUGAAUGGAGCAGGAAUGACUCUGGUAACAGGGGACACAGAGAAACUGAAUGCCUUCUUUGCUUCAGUCUUCAAUGCCAAGGUCAGCCGUCAGAAAUCCUUGACCCAGGAGACCAGGGAGAAGGUCUGGAGAAAGUAAGUCCUUCCCUUGUUUGAGGAGGAUUGGGUUAGAGAUCAAUUAGACAAAUCUGACAUCCACAAGUCCAUGGGCCCUGACAGGAUGCACCCAUGAGUGCUGAGGGAGCUGGUGAACAUCUUUGCUAGGCAACUCUUGAUCAUCUUUGAAAGGUCAUGGCAAUCAGGAGAGGUGUCUGAGGAGUGGAAGAAAGCAAAUGUCACCCCAGUCUUCAGUAACAGCAAGGAGAACCUUGGGAGUUCCAGACCAGUCAACCUUACCUGGUAAGGUGAUGGAACAGCUCAUCCUGGAGGCUAUCUCUAACCAUGUGGAAGACAAGGCAGCUAUCAGGAGCAGUCAGCCUGGAUUCACCAAAGGGAAAUUGUGCUUAACCAACCUGAUUGCUUCUACGAUGGGACAACGGGCUGGAUAGAUGAGGGGAGAGCAGGGGAUAUUGCAUACCUAGACCUCAGCAAGGAUUUCAACACUGUCUCCCAUGACAUCCUC